AUUUGUAGUUUCUUUAAUCGAAAUCUAUUCGCGAGUGCAUGUUACUACUUAGCUGGAAAAUACAUUUUGUUUAGAGACAACAGGACUUUGCGUUUGUGACUCAUUGCAUCAUUCUUUGACAUUAUUGUAUACAUACCAAGGAACGUCCGUAUGAAUGCGAUGUGUGCCUUAAUAACGCGAAAGCUAGUUGACUUAGACGUGCAGACGCAGAAACCUACUAAAAAUUAUAUUGAUUGAUCUGUUGCAAUCGACUUAGCAUUGGGAUGUUUCGGAUGAGUGAUAUUUUGUUGCUUACCGUCGUCCGGUUCACUUCAAACGAAGGUUAAAGCCGAAU